rnacentral:tRNA from 1 species
UAGCUCAGUGUUAGAGCACUCAUCUAGCAUGUGUGAGAUCCAGGGUUCAAUCCCUG